rnacentral:lncRNA from 12 species
GACCUGCACUUUGGCUUCGGGAAAUAUGGGGCUGGGUCUAUGCUGACAGGAGCCCACAGCUUCAUCAGGACCCACAGUGAGUUUUCUGGUGGAUGUGAGGCCAUGUCUAGGCUGACAGGAGCCCCCGGCCACCUGAGGACUUGCUGUGAGGCUUCCAGAGGAUGUGAGGCAUAGUCCACAGUGACAGGAGACGCGGCGUCCUCUGGACCCACUGACUAUGACACAGGAACACGUGGGGCCAUGUCCGCACUCACAGGAGCCUGGCUUCCUCAGGACCCCCUGGAGGACUCUGGAGGCGCCGUUGGGGGCCACGUCCAUAUCAGAACGGACUCCUCUGAACCACAGGGGGCCUAGGAUGAAUGGACCUGUUCGAACCCUGAACUUAAAGAGGAAAGACCUUCAUUUUCUUGGUCUCCUUGCGUCCCCUCCCAUCCUAUCUAGCUCUUUCCCCCUUCCCUGGAGCUCCUGAGAGAGCAAUUGCAAAAGACCUCAGCUUGGCAGGGUCUGUUGGGGGACAGGCCCAGGGAUUUGGGAUCAGGAAGACCUGAGGCACGGGCUUCCCAGCUGUGCAGCGGGAUUCCAUGCUGCAGACUCUUAUUCCCUAAGGCUAUCUUGACAACUGACUUUAUACAUAGAAAAGCUCUCCUUUAUCUUUAAAAGAUGAAGAGCCAGUCAAAGCCUUUUUUCUCUGCCCAUCUGAUUGCUCAGAUUCCAAUGUGAGAUGUAUUUCCUGUUAAUAAGGAUAAUUUACUAUCCAUAGUACUAUGGUUAAAAUAUUCUGACACAAGUAAUUCAGAGGGAUGAGGGUUUCUCAUCUCUUUCUUCACAGCUCAGUCACUCCUCAGGAAAUGGAUCCUUAUGGAUUUGGAAAUAACUGAGAGACAUUAUUACCAAUGGUCCUAUUAUUAUGUGAAGGAUCCUUCCCUGAGAUUCUUCCCCUAUUUCAACUGACACUGAAACACUUUGAACUCUUUGGAAGACAAAUGUCAAGGAAAUAAAUGUUAUGUGUUGCUAAUUUUAAAUGCA